UUUUUGCCUAAUGAGAACAUGAACAAUGUUUACUUCUCAAAAUGUGUUAAAUAUAAUGUGUUAUGUAUAUGCUGCAAAAUGUGAGUUAUGCACUGCAUUCCCUCUGAUCGCGGAAAGCGCGAGUAUAUAAUGAUGCAGCAUUUUCAACUAAACCUCAAUCGUAUUUUUUUUCUCCCGCAAACAAACAAGUUCGCCAAACGGAUGCACGUCUGUGAGUGAAACGCAAAUGUGCAAGUUUAUUCUUUUACCUUUUCCCAUCUUGGUUCAGAUUCCACACGACAGAUGACGCGAAUUGUAAACACUACAGCGUGCUGAGAUGAAUAACUGGCCGCUUGGGUUUUUAAAUAUCAUUCGCAGCGCUCAUUGGUCAGGCUCUCGGAGCGUAGGAUUGUGAUUGGUUUACUGAACGCGGAAGCUGUAAACUACUUGUGACGUAAUUCCAUCGUGACACAUUCGCUAGUAAAAUACUGUUUAUAAAUUGUACUGAACCUCAUGCCUCGCUUUCCUUUCUUCCAUUUCUGAUUUGAAUUCACAUUUACUGAGCUGAAUGUUAAUGCAGAAAGGUUCUGAGAGACGUGCACCUUGUUGACUUCCUGGUGUCGCUCUUUGCUGACAAUUUCUUCUAAGAUCUCCCCAUCGCCUCUUACGAGCCUGCAUGCAAGUUCAUCAC